AUAUUCUAGAUCCUGGUCCUGGUUGAAAUUAAGAGUAUUGGAGCUUUAGCCUGUAUACCAUACAUUCAACAUGAAAAGGACUGUCAGGAUGCUGCAUAAAAUGGUCUUAGCUACAGCGUAGAAUGUUGAUUUCUUUGGAAUAUGCUGCAAGGAACUGACGGGGAGCAGUUUUUCUUACCAAUCAUAGAAGCAGUAAGAGACAGCCAAAGAAGUACUCAAACAAUUGACAUACCCAGAAAGAUCUAGAAGAAAAGAUUGGAACAGAUUGUAGUUUAAAUGAUAAAACUACUAAAGUGAAUUUAAGCUGCACUUGAACUGUAUUUUUGAAAUAAAAUAUCUGAAGUAUUUAAUAUUGUCUUGAUAUUUUGUUAAACUUGGUUACUUUGCUUUAUAUCCAAAAGUUAAAGUAUGGUGGGUUUUCAACGUUGAAAUGACAUUGAAACUACAACGUUGUGCCAACGUUGAAGCUGCAACGUUGUAUCAACGUUGAAAUUUCAACGUUGUUUCAACUUUCAAAUCCGAAUAUAAAUCCAACCUUAUUUCAACGUUGAAAUCUGACCAUAAUUCAACGUUGAAACAACGUUGAUGUGCCUGCUGGGAUCCUUUACAUUGUAUUUUAGAAUGACCAAUGAGAUUCACCGACUUCAGUUUAAUGAAAUAUAUUGACAAUUAAAGAUCUUAAGCGAAAUAAGGCGCCAUGACAAGUUUUUCAUUGAGACGUCCGACAUACUAAUCGGUCAUUUCAAGGACUGUUUUAACACUAUAUUUGAUUCCGGUUAUUUUCCAAAGGUUUUGUCUUAUGGUUAUAUCGUACCAUUAUAUAAGUACAUUAAUUAGUAGUUUUGGUAAAUUAUUUACAAAGGUAUUAACAAAACUGGUUGAAAAUU